CAGAAUUGUGCGCAUGAAUGGUGAAGUUGGGACAUGGCGGAAAAAGCAGGAAAAACAGCGGGAGUGGAAGCAGAAGGGAAUCGGAGCAGAGAGAAAGUAUGUAAGAGAUGCAAAAAGAUUUACGAUUCAGCUUCUAACAACUCAAAUUCAUGUCAAUUUCAUCCUUCUUUCUUUGUCUGUCGCCGUCACGACGAUCAGAAAAGGUAUUACGAACUAGGACCAGAUGAUCCUCCUUAUGCUGCCAAGUUUUAUGAUUGUUGUGGAGCAGAAGAUCCUCAAGCAAGUGGUUGUACCACCAAUUUCCAUGUUUCAUAUGAUGACGAGUAGGAAGAUUCUCAUGGUUUGUUAUGUAACCUUUCUGUAAUUAGAAACUGUGUCUGUACCUAAAAGAACUUUGCCCUUUGAUCUGAAAUAGACAGUCUCCACAUGGUCUAUGUAAUUAUAUACAGAAAAAUAAUGUUCGACGCUUCUGGGGAUUAGGUAAUGCUCAGCCUUACUGAUAAUUG
rnacentral:misc_RNA from 1 species